CAAAGAUUUUAUCUUAUCUCAUUUGAUUCUCAACUUGACCUAGAAGGUUUGCUGCCACCACCCAUACUUCUGUUCUAGAUUCAGAUGAGGGCCAAAUACCAAAUACCCAACAGACAACUGGUUUGGUCAUUCCAGUCCACCACUUGGACAUUGUCUCAUGUUGAACUAACAUCAACUACAAGGGAAACAAAGCAACCUCUGAACUUUGGCUGUCAGCAUAAGUUGAAGAGAGCAGUAAUAGGAGCAAGAUGUGGUACGGGGAUGCGGUCUUAGAGGAUGGAGCCUCACCAGAGAUGCCUGCUCCCUUCUCUCUGGAGAACAACACACAUGCACCAAUUCUUUGCAUCUUUCAGUUGAGAAGGAAAAAAAUCUUAAUAAUGCAGUGAAAAAUUUGUCUUUUGAUUUUUGAGUUUUUCAAAAG